GAGGAAUCUUGCGCAAUGGGGGAAACCCUGACGCAGCAACGCCGCGUGAGUGAGGAAGGUCUUCGGAUCGUAAAGCUCUGUCAGUUGGAAAGAAAUGUCUGAGAGUCAAUACCUUUCAGGCUUGACGGUACCAACAGAGGAAGCACCGGCUAACUCCGUGCCAGCAGCCGCGGUAAUACGGGGGGUGCAAGCGUUGUUCGGAAUUAUUGGGCGUAAAGAGCGUGUAGGCGGCCGGAUAUGUCAGAUGUGAAAGCCCCGGGCUUAACCCGGGAAGUGCAGUUGAAACUGUCCGGCUCGAGUAGGGGAGAGGGAAGUGGAAUUCCUGGUGUAGAGGUGAAAUUCGUAGAUAUCAGGAGGAACACCGGUGGCGAAGGCGACUUCCUGGCCCUAUACUGACGCUGAGACGCGAGAGCGUGGGUAGCAAACAG
rnacentral:rRNA from 1 species